GACGAACGCUGGCGGCGUGCUUAACACAUGCAAGUCGAACGGUGAAGCGCCUUCCUUUUUGGUGGGUGUGGAUGAGUGGCGAACGGGUGAGUAACACGUGAGUAACCUGCCCCCUUCUUCUGGAUAACCGCAUGAAAGUGUGGCUAGUACGGGAUAUUCUGGGUCUGUCGCAUGAUGGGUCUGGGAAAGAUAUUGUUUCGGUGGGGGAUGGGCUCGCGGCCUAUCAGCUUGUUGGUGGGGUGAUGGCCUACCAAGGCGGUGACGGGUAGCCGGCCUGAGAGGGUGGACGGUCACACUGGGACUGAGACACGGCCCAGACUCCUACGGGAGGCAGCAGUGGGGAAUAUUGCACAAUGGGCGCAAGCCUGAUGCAGCGACGCCGCGUGAGGGAUGGAGGCCUGCGGGUUGUGAACCUCUUUCGCCAGUGAAGCAGGCCUGCCUCGUUUGUGGGUGGGUUGACGGUAGCUGGAGAAGAAGCGCCGGCUAACUACGUG
rnacentral:rRNA from 1 species